AGAAUCAACGCUGGCGGCGUGCCUAACACAUGCAAGUCGAACGAGAAAGUGGAGCAAUCCAUGAGUAAAGUGGCGACCGGGUGAGUAACACGUGACUAACCUACCUUCGAGUGGGGGAUAACCUCGGGAAACCGAGGCUAAUACCGCAUAACAUCGCAAGAUCAAAGCAGCAAUGCGCUGGAAGAGGGGGUCGCGGCUGAUUAGCUAGUUGGCGGGGUAACGGCCCACCAAGGCGAAGAUCGGUAU
rnacentral:rRNA from 1 species